rnacentral:lncRNA from 1 species
AAAACACUAAGAAAGAUGCAUGUGCCAUGUGACCCAGCUAUAUUACUCAAAAACCUUUUACCAGGAGUACAAAUGACAACUGUCUCUGAGAGUCUGGAAGCUUGGUCUGCUGACUUUUUUUGGCUCCAUUAUGCAUCAGAUACUCUGGGGGAUCGUUUGAGUUUCCCACAAUCCCGGGAUGAGACAUGGACUUACCACAGCUCUUAGAGUACCCCUCUUGCGGGCCACUUUGGUUUUUACAAUCACUGCCACUACGGAGAAGACUGAAAUGAAUACUUUUACAGGUAGGUAUUUCCAGUGAUGUGGUUUUGAAUUCUAUGUAUGUGACAAUAUAACAUGAACUUAGAUAAUUAUCUAAGUAAGAACAUGAGUCCGUUAAGGGCUUUACAAAGUAU